CUCGUGCUGGUGGUCCGCCAGCUCCUGAGGCAGAGACGUCCAGCGGGCUUCCCCCCGGGUCCUCCGCGGCUGCCAUUCAUCGGCAACAUCUGCUCCCUGGCCCUGUCGGCCGAUCUUCCCCACGUCUACAUGAGGAAGCAGAGCCGGGUGUUUGGCGAGGCUUACUCAAUUCCAGAUAUGGCAGAGGAUGGAUUGAUCACAGAAGAUUGGCUGUUAACAGCUUUCAUUAUUUUGGAAGUGGCCAAAAAUCUUUUGAAUCUAAAAUCUUAGAAGAAACUUGGUCUUUAAUUGAUGCUAUUGAAACAUACAAAGGUAGACCUUUUGACCUCAAGCAACUGAUAACAAAUGCUGUUUCAAACAUAACUAACCUUAUCCUUUUUGGAGAACGAUUCACUUAUGAAGACACUGAUUUUCAGCACAUGAUUGAGUUAUUCAGUGAGAAUGUCGAACUAGCUGCCAGUGCUCCGGUCUUCCUUUACAAUGCAUUUCCAUGGAUUGGCAUCUUACCUUUCGGAAAACAUCAAAGGCUAUUUAGAAAUGCAGAUGUGGUCUAUGAUUUCCUCUCCAAACUUAUUGAAAAAGCUGCAGUAAAUAGAAAGCCUCAUUUGCCUCAGAAUUUUGUUGAUGCCUAUUUAGAUGAGAUGGAUAAAGGUCAAAAUGAUCCUUUAUCUACGUUCUCCAAAGAGAAUCUAAUUUUCUCAGUGGGUGAACUCAUCAUUGCUGGAACUGAAACUACAACCAAUGUGCUCCGCUGGGCAGUUCUGUUCAUGGCCCUUUAUCCUAAUAUUCAAGGACAAGUUCAUAAAGAGAUUGAUUUAAUUAUGGGACACGACAGGAGGCCUUCUUGGGAAGACAAAUGCAAAAUGCCUUAUACUGAAGCAGUUUUGCAUGAAGUUUUAAGAUUCUGUAAUAUAGUUCCACUGGGGAUUUUCCAUGCAACUUCUGAAGAUGCAGUUGUACGUGGCUAUUCCAUUCCUAAAGGCACAACAGUCAUUACAAAUCUUUAUUCUGUUCACUUUGAUGAAAAGUACUGGAAAGACCCAGACAUGUUCUAUCCUGAGCGAUUUCUGGACAGCAGUGGAUAUUUUACUAAAAAGGAAGCUUUGAUUCCUUUUUCUCUAGGGAGAAGACACUGUCUUGGAGAACAGCUGGCUCGGAUGGAAAUGUUCUUGUUUUUUACAUCAUUGCUUCAGCAAUUUCAUUUGCAUUUCCCACACGAACUAGUUCCAAACUUGAAACCCAGGUUGGGCAUGACAUUACAACCCCAGGCCUACCUCAUCUGUGCAGAAAGACGCUGAAAGAGCACAAAUAUAUUGGGAAUAACCUUGUUCAAUCGAUAAUGGUGUUUAGGCCAAAGAUACAGUUUUAAAAAGCCAAAUAAACACAAAUACAUCGCUUAAAAUAGUACUAGAGCAAUAACAAGCAUUAGUUAUUUUUUUCAAACUUCCAUGAAUUCUUAUUGUAGAAUGUAUUGAACAGCACAAAGGUACAAGUGUUAUGAAGAUUUUAAGAAGGUCCAUGGAUGCUCUAAAAGUUCUUGCUUAGUAUAAGAUUCUUCUCAUCUGUCUCCAUUCUAAGGAACUUUACUCCCUAACUGAUUAAUUUAAUGGUGAGGUGUAUCCCCCCCAUAUACACAUAAUUAAAAAUAAUAGAAAUAGUCUUUUUUAAAAAGUAGGAAGAACAUGGAUUUAACUUUAACUUUCAUUGUCUGGUAAAAAUUUCCUAGUUAGUUCUGCGGUACAAAUUAGGAGUUUUUGGCAUCUGAUGUCUUAAGAUAUUUCUAGUCCCAAGGGAAAGAAAACCCUGGGCAAACAUACCAAUUUAGAGGUAAUAUGAAAGGAUUAAGGUUGUAAUAGUGUAGAUGAUUCACACUUUAAUUUAAAAAAAAAACAAGCAUUUCUUUGUGUCAUUGUUUUGCUUUCCAGAUGAUACCAACUUUAUUUGAAGGCUAGCUUAUGAGAGUACAUGUGCUGAGCACAGUGCCACAUGAAGAGAUCAAGCUUGGCUUCGGGAAAUACGAUGAGAGUUUCUCAUGUAACCCCAUAAAACUCUUCCUGGUGUUACAGAGAGCAUGAGUCACACGUUCAUACAUUAACACUGUUCUUUAUUUUCACUUCUCUAGACUUUCUGAGCUACGUGAGAGUGAAAUAGUUGUCUAAACAGUUAUGAAAGGAAGAGGAUCUGCAGAUCAGAGCCUCUUAGUGUUUCAGACUUAACUUCCUGAAUCCUAACAGAUGUACUGUCAUGUUGCUCUCUAGUUUUGUUUUGGGUUUUUUUUUCUUUGACAUAGCAAAAACCUUACAACUUUAGGCCUUUUCUUUACUACAGUUUCUUAUAAAAGCUUAAGUUAAUUCUAUAUUCUGGGACUUCUACUAACAGUAAGACUUCUUGGCAGUCUUACUGAAGAAGAUAACUUGGUAAAGUAGAUUGUGGUAAAAAUUAAGUAGUCUUUGUUCUCUGGAGUAUGGCUACUACUGCUUUUAGUAUGUGGUCAGGGACUCAAUACACCCAUGCAGAAUGCUGUUUUGUUUACCUAUGCCUUAGGAAAUAUAUUUAAUUUUUCUUACAUCAGUAUUCAUAAACUAAUAAAAGCAGAAGAACCUUAAUCUCACUUACUGCCCUAAUUGUGUAGUCAGAAAGAUGGAGGACCAGACAGGAGAAUUAAUUGCCUUGUAACAAGCUUGAAAAUUAAGCAUAUAAUAUACCAAAAGUAAACUUCAAAAGCUUCCAGAAGCACAAAUAAUAUGUAUAUAUUAUCCUCUAAAAAUAAUACAAUGUGCAGACUUUUUAAAAAGAAAAUAAAACCAGAAAGC
rnacentral:lncRNA from 1 species